rnacentral:rRNA from 1 species
AACGGCCGUACCAUGCUGAACAUACCGGUUCUCGUUAGAUCACCGAAGUUAAGCAUCAUUGGGCGCGGUCAGUACUUGGGUGGGUGACCACCUGGGAACACUGUGUGCCGUU